UAUUACAAAAUUUCAGUUUAAAUUUUUUCUGAAAAAAUCAAAUUAGCGCUUAUAGCGCCACUACAUUUAUUGAGUUUAGAGUCUAUCAUGAGAGUUCAUAGAGAACAAAGAUUCAAAGAGAACAUCGAUUAAAGAUCCUAGAGAAGUGAGGAAGAACAUUUAUAGUAAGAACAGACGUAAAAUAAUUAAUGUUGACUUGGUGAAUUGCUUUUUGAUCUACUCUCUAUAGGUUUUUCCUUCAUAGUCAUCUAUAUAACCGCAGCAUAAAUUGACAAUUAUUUAUGAAUCUAUGAAUUUAUUACAUUUUGCGAUGUUCUACGUUUUUGUCCAUCUUGCCAUCUUUUAUUGAAAUCGACGCUACGUCGCCAUUUUUAAAAUUUUGCAAUUUUAUAUGCUAUUCGAUUGAUGAUAAAUAAGAAUGGAAGAGUGUUCAUUUUGAUUCAACCGAAAAAGCUAGUUGUCUGCCAUGUUCGUUUCAUUUUGGAGGAUCUUCUAAUUAAUCACGGAACAUUAAAAAAAAACCCUGGAUAGCAUUAAUUUACAGUGCCUUAGUUGUGUCUGCGUUCAUUCGGUUCAGAAAGUAGCUGUCCUAAAAAGAAUCACAAAAGUGCCUUUUUUUCGAUUACGAACGAAUACAGUGUGGCAUUGCUGAAGGAAGGAUUUAUGACAAAUGAACUGAUUGUCCAAGUGAGAAGAAAUUACAGCUAAUUCUGAUGGUACUGAAAGAGUCGAUGCUUUUGAUGUCUUACCCUUGCAACAUAAUUUUGAACCUGAGAAGGGGAGGCAUUUGAAAAUUACUUUGGAAACGACUGAAACAACAACUUGUCUGCAGUGAUAUUCCUCCUGGAUUUGGCUUGUUAAUUCUACCUGUGGACCUUAGGAAGCUACUUUCUGCAGUUAUUUAAGAUUGCCCAACAAAUGAGUUCAGUUUGGCGCUACUCGAGCAACUGUCUACAUGUGUGUGGUCUUUUCUAGACUUCGUUCAUGAUUUGAUAUUUUCAUCUUCACUUCUCAAAACUAUGUUGAUUUUCGGCGGAUUAGUGGGAGCAACUAAAGAUUUAUUUGAUUUCAAGUGGAACAACAAAAUUUCUGCUAUGGAGUUGGUUUGCUUUCCACACCUGCAAACUUUGGAACAUUACGAUCUACAGUUAAGUCGAGAAUACAUGACUUCAUUAAUAUUAAUUUCUCUUUAUUAAUCUGUAAUGAAAUUUCUGUUAACAAUCAUUGUCAACAGGAUAAAUUGAAGUUGUUGUGCAUUUAUAUCCCUUAACAGAUUUUAUUUUCCACAGAAGAGAUUGACAUUUAUCAUUGAUGUAUGGAGUUUCGUUUUAACCUUUGUCUAUUGUCUGCAUCGUAAAUUGACGUCGUGAUAUUUGACAUUUAUCUAUGUCGUGAUCUAUGGUUGUAAUGUAAAAUGGCGUGAAAGUAACGCUUGUUAUUUUAUAAUUGAGCUAUUUUUACUUGGUUUUUAUUUAUGUUUAUUAAUAAUACGUGUAAUUAAUGUUUUUUUAUCCAUUUCUGCAGGUUAUAUAAUAAAUGGGAGAGAAUUAAAGUUCAGUUUGGUUAUAUUGAAACAGCCAAUGUCUACAUGGGUGUGGUUAUGCAUAGAUUAUAUUCUUGAUUUGCUGUUUCGUCUUCGCCUUGUGACAUCAUGCAGUUAAUUUUUAACCCAUGAUUGAGAGCAACUGGAUAUCAUUUGAAUUCCACUGAAAUAACAAAUUCUCUGCUACAGUAUUCCUCCUGGAGUUUGUUUACUUUUCACACCUGUAAACUUUGGAAUGUUACCUUCUACAAUUAAUUAAGGUGAGAAUACUUGAUAUAAUCAAU